AACCGCUCCGUGGGUCCCUCUCCUCCCCCGGGCAAGCCAGAAAUCAAAAAAGAAAGUUUCUGAAGGAAUACUAGCAAGCAGAAAGCCUCCUCUUCGUCCGGAUAUUAAUAGAAUUCAUUUCAUUCUGCUUUGCAAUACUUUAGUAAAUUUUGCUUUGCUUUGUUUAUCCUUUAGUUCAGUCUUAAUUUCAGAUUUAUUCUGUAAAAUGAAAUUUCAAUAAAAUCAAAAAAAAGGAG
rnacentral:lncRNA from 1 species